rnacentral:tRNA from 1 species
AUAAAGUAAGCUAAAUCUAAGCUAGUGGGUUCAUACCCCAAAUAUGAGCGACUCCUUUAUUA